AUUGAACGCUGGCGGCAUGCCUUACACAUGCAAGUCGAACGGUAACAGGUCUUCGGACGCUGACGAGUGGCGAACGGGUGAGUAAUACAUCGGAACGUGCCCAGUCGUGGGGGAUAACUACUCGAAAGAGUGGCUAAUACCGCAUACGAUCUGAGGAUGAAAGCGGGGGACCUUCGAGCCUCGCGCGAUUGGAGCGGCCGAUGGCAGAUGAGGUAGUUGGUGGGAUAAAAGCUUACCAAGCCGACGAUCUGUAGCUGGUCUGAGAGGACGACCAGCCACACUGGGACUGAGACACGGCCCAGACUCCUACGGGAGGCAGCAGUGGGGAAUUUUGGACAAUGGGCGAAAGCCUGAUCCAGCAAUGCCGCGUGCAGGAUGAAGGCCUUCGGGUUGUAAACUGCUUUUGUACGGAACGAAAAAGCUUCCCCUAAUACGGGAGGCCCAUGACGGUACCGUAAGAAUAAGCACCGGCUAACUACGUGCCAGCCGCCGCGGUAAAAC
rnacentral:rRNA from 1 species